UAUUAAAAAAUUUAUUUAUUUUUACAGUUAAAAAUUAACAUAAUUGAUGGAAUAACCAGAUAGUGACAUGUGACGUAUCACGCGUACUUCAUGCUAACGUACAAAGACUGAUUUUUAACAGUAUUAAUGAAUGAAAUUUUUAACA
rfam:Gossypium hirsutum cultivar TM-1 chromosome 10, whole genome shotgun sequence